UCCCUGGUGGCUCAGUGGUUAAAGCGUCUGCCUGGAAUGCAGGAGACCCGGGUUUGAUCCCUGGGUCGAUCCCAGGGAA